rnacentral:lncRNA from 10 species
GGACGGCAAUGGCUGUGGGCAAGGAGCGAGGCGCGAUUGGCUGUCCGGCGGACGAGUUCUGGGGCCCGCGAGCGCAAAGUGGAAGGCGGCGGGGCCGGGGCUGUGGCUGCGCCGCCCGCCAUCUACCUCCCCGCGGCGGCCCGGCCCCCGGUAUGAUGGUGGGGACCGGUGGGGAUCUAGGUCGCGGGCCAGGAGGAGGGUGUUGGGGAACGUGUGUCCAGCUCACCUCCGUUAGCCGCUGAACGCUAGCACCGACAGAAGAUUCUCUCAUCUUAAAGCGGAGGUAUACGGGGUGUCGGGGGAAGACACUCCCACCAGACUCAGAGUUACUCUGAUCUGAAAGAUGACAGUCGCAGCACGUCAGCCAGAAUCAAGUCUCCUAGGAGCCUAAACUAAAGGAUCAGAGCAAAUAAUGGUAUUAGGUACAAGACUCUCUGAGAGCUUGCCAUAAAUAUGUCAAUCGAUGUAAUCCUCACUACAGCCCUGUAAAUUAGGUGGUAAAAUAUCAUUUACAAAUAAAAAACUGAGACACAGGGUAAUGUGUUUAAAAUCAGCGAGCAGUGGCAGAAUUCGCUGUAAACAUUACACUGCGUAUAGAUGAUACUUUUCCAGAUGUUUGAAAUGUUGGACACAAUUCCCAUUCCGCUGGGGGAAAUAGCUAGAUUUACUGUUAUUGAAGAAUCCAGUUAUGGACUACCAUGCUAUACUGACAUAGGAAGUUCCCCCAAGACGUAUUUGGGAGUGGAUUUUAAAAGUUACAGAAAAAGAGAUAUGAGUACUUUUUUUUUUUUUUUUUGAGACAGAGACUCACUCUGUCGCCCAGGCUGGAGUGCAGUGGCGCGAUCUCGGCUCUCUGCAAUCUGCACCUCCCGGGUUCAAGCGAUUGUCCUGCCUCAGGCUCCUGGCAAAUUUUUGUAUUUUUAGUAGAGACGCGGUUUCACUAUGUUGGCCAGACUGGUCUCCAACUGCUGACCUCAAAUGAUCCACCCACCUUGGCCUCACUCCCAAAGUGCUGGGAUUACAGGCGUGAGCCACCGCGCCCAGCCAGUAAUUCUU